CGCGGUAACACGUAGGGGGCGAGCGUUGUCCGGAUUUAUUGGGCGUAAAGAGCUCGUAGGUGGUUCAGUAAGUCGAGUGUGAAACCUCCAGGCUCAACCUGGAGACGCCACCCGAUACUGCUGUGACUAGAGUCCAGUAGGGGAGCACGGAAUUCCUGGUGUAGCGGUGAAAUGCGCAGAUAUCAGGAGGAACACCAGUGGCGAAGGCGGUGCUCUGGGCUGGAACUGACACUGAGGAGCGAAAGCGUGGGUAGCAAACAGG
rnacentral:rRNA from 1 species